AUGAACGCUAGCGACAGGCUUAACACAUGCAAGUCGAGGGGCAUCAUGAGGUAGCAAUACCUUGAUGGCGACCGGCGCACGGGUGAGUAACGCGUAUGCAACCUGCCUGAUACCGGGGUAUAGCCCAUGGAAACGUGGAUUAACACCCCAUAGUACUUUUAUCCUGCCUGGGAUGGGAGUUAAAUGUUCAAGGUAUCGGAUGGGCAUGCGUCCUAUUAGUUAGUUGGCGGGGUAACAGCCCACCAAGACGAUGAUAGGUAGGGGUUCUGAGAGGAAGGUCCCCCACAUUGGAACUGAGACACGGUCCAAACUCCUACGGGAGGCAGCAGUGAGGAAUAUUGGUCAAUGGACGAGAGUCUGAACCAGCCAAGUCGCGUGAGGGAAGACUGCCCUAUGGGUUGUAAACCUCUUUUAUAAGGGAAGAAUAAGUUCUACGUGUAGAAUGAUGCCUGUACCUUAUGAAUAAGCAUCGGCUAACUCCGUGCCAGCAGCCGCGGUAAUACGGAGGAUGCGAGCGUUAUCCGGAUUUAUUGGGUUUAAAGGGUGCGUAGGCGGUUUAUUAAGUUAGUGGUUAAAUAUUUGAGCUAAACUCAAUUGUGCCAUUAAUACUGGUAAACUGGAGUACAGACGAGGUAGGCGGAAUAAGUUAAGUAGCGGUGAAAUGCAUAGAUAUAACUUAGAACUCCGAUAGCGAAGGCAGCUUACCAGACUGUAACUGACGCUGAUGCACGAGAGCGUGGGUAGCGAACAGGAUUAGAUACCCUGGUAGUCCACGCCGUAAACGAUGCUCACUGGUUCUGUGCGAUAUAUUGUACGGGAUUAAGCGAAAGUAUUAAGUGAGCCACCUGGGGAGUACGUCGGCAACGAUGAAACUCAAAGGAAUUGACGGGGGCCCGCACAAGCGGAGGAACAUGUGGUUUAAUUCGAUGAUACGCGAGGAACCUUACCUGGGUUUAAAUGGGAAAUGCCGUAUUUGGAAACAGAUAUUCUCUUCGGAGCGUUUUUCAAGGUGCUGCAUGGUUGUCGUCAGCUCGUGUCGUGAGAUGUUGGGUUAAGUCCCGCAACGAGCGCAACCCUUAUUGUUAGUUGCCAUCAUUCAGUUGGGCACUCUAGCAAGACUGCCGGUGACAAACCGGAGGAAGGUGGGGAUGACGUCAAAUCAGCACGGCCCUUACACCCAGGGCUACACACGUGUUACAAUGGCCGGUACAGAGGGCCGCUACCAGGUGACUGGAUGCCAAUCUCAAAAGCCGGUCGUAGUUCGGAUUGGAGUCUGUAACCCGACUCCAUGAAGUUGGAUUCGCUAGUAAUCGCGCAUCAGCCAUGGCGCGGUGAAUACGUUCCCGGGCCUUGUACACACCGCCCGUCAAGCCAUGGAAGCCGGGGGUGCCUGAAGUCCGUAACCGCGAGGAUCGGCCUAGGGCAAAACUGGUAACUGGGGCU
rnacentral:rRNA from 1 species